UUUUUCAUGAAUUCUGUGAUAGGUAGAUUUAGGAAAAUUUAGAGUGGUGCUGGCAGUCGGCCAUGAGGCAAGGCCUUAGAUGCUAAAGACUAAAGGCUAGUACAUUAAUGACUUGGGUGAAUAUAAUAAGCUGAUAUUGAAUAACAGUGGGGGCAUACUUUUGCAAAGUGAAUGCGAAUGGGAGCCGGCUUUUAGAAAUUCCAAACACGCGCGUUUGGUGCGUUCAGGUACACACUUAGAGCGUUAGAAAAUCCAGGCGGCGAACUGGUCUGCUGAGACAUAAAGACCAGCAGGAUAAACUCAUACAAGUAGACCCGUAUGGGAUUGGUUAGGGGGUUCGCAUGAGGCGUGACAAUGCGCAUGUUGUCCACUAGGUUUCCCACAAUAAUUACGGCGUCUUUAGAGAAGACUCUUCUCUUCAUUUCCCCUCUCUGUGCAUAAAGUCCUUCACAAUUAGGUAUUGCAGGAUUUAAUAGAUUGGGGGGGGGGAGCUUGCUCUACGGGAUUGGCUUAAGUAUAUGAUUAAGGAAGCUCGAAGCUUUGGAGGCCUGAAGUCUGGAGGAUAAGAAGAGGUUAAAGGCCUGCAGUCUUGCCUUGAAUUUUGAGGCCAGUAGUCUCAUUUCAUAAGCAAGGCCAGUAGUCUUGUUUUGAGGCCAGUAGUCUCAUUUAAUAAAUGGGGCCAGUAGUCCUGCUUAAUAGAAAAUCCAGCGGCGACUGGUUAAGGUUAUGGUUAAGGUGAAAUCCAGCGGUGACUGGUAAGAUCUGCUUAACAUUUUCCACUCUCUAGAAAUCCUAUGAAUUAGGUAGAUAGGUUAUCUAGAAGAGGGUGGGUGGCAGAUAAGCGCUUUUGUGUAAAUGAUAGUGUAUAUACAUCUGCAUGCUGGUGUGAGUGUGAUAACGUGGUGCAUGUGCUUGAUUGAUGAAUAGAUGUUCCGAAUUAUGUUUUGCUAUGUGUAUGUGAUUGUUUAACAGUGUAUAUAUAUGUAUAGAAUCCGAACUGGAGACUGAUCAUCUCCGGCGUCGGGUUGUAAAACCAUAGCAUAUUAAGGUGUUGGUGAGUAGACCAACCCGGACCACGUGGGGCUGCCUUGCCAGCGGCUAACGGGGUCUCAUUGGUAAUUCCACUGGGGAUAUAGCGUGGGUUAGCAGUUAGCUUCAGCCCAUUGUUCUUCGCUACGCCAGCACACGGCGUUUUACGAUCCAUGUGCUGAGGUGUGAGGCACUUCCUCUUUGGUAGUUCUGUGUUCGAUCUUCAGCUAUCGGCUGAACAGCGCCUCAUGUGGUUGGAGUAAGUGCACAUCGUGAGGGGGAAGCCCCUGAGUGUGCCAUGUGGUGGGUGUAAGAGGGAAUUACAAGAGGGGGAGUUCAAUUUCCUCACUUGCUCCGAGUUCGGACGUUGACUUUGAUGCGCAUUUGCCUUUACUUACUAGGAUAGUGUAAAGAUUGAUAAGACAACUUGACGGAUAUCUGGAUUGGUGUUGACGUUUAUUUGAAACAUUAAAGUGCUGUAAUGUCACGUUGAAUUUGGUUUGUACUAUAGUUCUGCAUCGAUUUUGGAUUGAAAUUGGAGGUUGACUUAAUUUUGAUGUGGUGCUUUUGAGAAGCUGUUAUGAAUUGUUUGAUUUCGAUCUCCAAUGUUUAGCUGAAACCAGAUUGACUGUCAUUGCAUUGUCUCUGGGUUGGGGGUGGAUCGUUGUUUAUAUUGUGGUAUAAUCUCUGGCGACAUUUGUGGGGGAGUGCUUCUGCUAUACUUCCUGAUUGAUAUUGCCGGCAGUUUGACUGUAUCAUCAUAACUUUGAAUAAUUUUGUAACCUUGAUUAAUAAUUUGGAGUAAUUCAUUUUUAGACAUCAAGAUUAACUUUAUUGAAGUUUAAUUUUUAGACUUUUGAAUUUUGAAUGAAGAUUGAGUUUUGAUUUGAGAUAUAAUUAAUUCUUUCUCUUUUUCCUCUGUUUAAUUGUAAUCAUAGUCUUUGGCAUUGAUCAUUGAUUAUACUAAUUUUUA
ensembl:lncRNA